rnacentral:rRNA from 1 species
AGAUGGCGACCGGCGCACGGGUGAGUAACACGUAUCCAACCUGCCGAUAACUCGGGGAUAGCCUUUCGAAAGAAAGAUUAAUACCCGAUGGUAUAAUCAGACCGCAUGGUCUUGUUAUUAAAGAAUUCGGUUAUCGAUGGGGAUGCGUUCCAUUAGGCAGUUGGUGAGGUAACGGCUCACCAAACCUUCGAUGGAUAGGGGUUCUGAGAGGAAGGUCCCCCACAUUGGAACUGAGACACGGUCCAA